AUCCUGGGAAGAGGAAGAAGACCUGGAGGAGCAAAGCCUCUAUAAACUAUCCCAGGAGAGGGUGAGAAGCUGGAUUCUGGGGAGCAUCUUCAGGCUCACUGAAGACGACCCCCAAGGUAGGGAACUACUUUCCAGGUAGGACCUGAUGGGAAAGGGUUCCUGAGAGCCUUCAGGUUGUCCCCGCUGCUUGAGGGGCUGAAGAAGGGAGUAUGAAAUCAGAAAGAAAAUGAAAAUGUGUGUGAGGUUUGGUUUGUUAUUUUCAAAGUUUAUUGUCAUAAAGGUAGGAAUUGUCUCUCUGGGCUAUGAGGGUG